rnacentral:rRNA from 1 species
GAUGAACGCUGGCGGCGUGCCUAAUACAUGCAAGUCGAGCGAACAGACGAGGAGCUUGCUCCUCUGACGUUAGCGGCGGACGGGUGAGUAACACGUGGAUAACCUACCUAUAAGACUGGGAUAACUUCGGGAAACCGGAGCUAAUAUCGGAUAAUAUAUUGAACCGCAUGGUUCAAUAGUGAAAGACGGUUUUGCUGUCACUUAUAGAUGGAUCCGCGCCGCAUUAGCUAGUUGGUAAGGUAACGGCUUACCAAGGCGACGAUGCGUAGCCGACCUGAGAGGGUGAUCGGCCACACUGGAACUGAGACACGGUCCAGACUCCUACGGGAGGCAGCAGUAGGGAAUCUUCCGCAAUGGGCGAAAGCCUGACGGAGCAACGCCGCGUGAGUGAUGAAGGUCUUCGGAUCGUAAAACUCUGUUAUUAGGGAAGAACAAAUGUGUAAGUAACUAUGCACGUCUGGACGGUACCUAAUCAGAAAGCACGGCUAACUACGUG